rnacentral:rRNA from 1 species
AUACGAACCGGACAAACGUUAUUCGGAAUUAUUGGGCUUAAAGGGUGCGUAGGCGGCGCGGUAAGUGAGGUGUGAAAGCCCACGGCUCAACCGUGGAAUUGCGCUUCAUACUGCCGUGCUAGAGGGAGACAGAGGUAAGCGGAACUGAUGGUGGAGCGGUGAAAUGCGUUGAUAUUAUCAGGAACACCGGUGGCGAAAGCGGCUUACUGGGUCUCUUCUGACGCUGAGGCACGAAAGCUAGGGUAGCGAACGGGAUUAGAUACCCCAGUAGUCC